rnacentral:rRNA from 1 species
UACGAAGGGGGCUAGCGUUGUUCGGAAUCACUGGGCGUAAAGCGCACGUAGGCGGAUCUUUAAGUCAGGGGUGAAAUCCCGAGGCUCAACCUCGGAACUGCCUUUGAUACUGGGGAUCUCGAGUCCGGGAGAGGUGAGUGGAACUGCGAGUGUAGAGGUGAAAUUCGUAGAUAUUCGCAAGAACACCAGUGGCGAAGGCGGACUCACUGGCCCGGAACUGAC